rnacentral:rRNA from 1 species
AUUGAACGCUGGCGGCAUGCCUUACACAUGCAAGUCGAACGGUAACAGGCCGCAAGGUGCUGACAAGUGGCGAACGGGUGAGUAAUGCAUCGGAACGUGCCCAGUCGUGGGGGAUAACUGCUCGAAAGAGCAGCUAAUACCGCAUACGACCUGAGGGUGAAAGCGGGGGACCGUAAGGCCUCGCGCGAUUGGAGCGGCCGAUGUCAGAUUAGCUAGUUGGUGGGGUAAAGGCCCACCAAGGCAACGAUCUGUAGUUGGUCUGAGAGGGCGACCAGCCACACUGGGACUGAGACACGGCCCAGACUCCUACGGGAGGCAGCAGUGGGGAAUUUUGGACAAUGGGCGCAAGCCUGAUCCAGCAAUGCCGCGUGCAGGAAGAAGGCCUUCGGGUUGUAAACUGCUUUUGUCAGGGAAGAAAUCUUCUGGGCUAAUACCCCGGGAGGAUGACGGUACCUGAAGAAUAAGCACCGGCUAACUACGUGCCAGCAGCCGCAGUAACAC